ACGGAAGGUCCGGGCGUUAUCCGGAUUUAUUGGGUUUAAAGGGAGCGUAGGCCGUCUUAUAAGCGUGUUGUGAAAUGUCGGGGCUCAACCUGGGCAUUGCAGCGCGAACUGUGAGACUUGAGUGUGCAGGAAGUAGGCGGAAUUCGUCGUGUAGCGGUGAAAUGCUUAGAUAUGACGAAGAACUCCGAUUGCGAAGGCAGCCUGCUGUAGCGCAACUGACGCUGAAGCUCGAAAGCGUGGGUAUCGAACAG
rnacentral:rRNA from 1 species